UCUCUACUCACUCCGUUCCAUAAUUCUUGUCGAAGUAUUAUAUGUAUCUAGACACUUUUUAGAAAUAGAUACAUUCAUUUUUAGGCAAAUUCGAGACAAGAAUUAUGGAACGGAGAAAGAGGAAG
rnacentral:pre_miRNA from 1 species